GUAACUCAAAUAAGACUCAAAGUUACCCAAAUAAGUACUGAAAGACAUACGAAAAGACCACAAGAACCAUCAAUAUAACCACAAGAACUAUAAAGCAUUUUUCAUGAUAUAACCAUCAAUAUAGGCAUCUUCCUGUCUAAAAGAUGUCCCCUCAAGCCUAAGUAAUCAAACAAAAUUCCAAAAGAUCAUCAGCAAGAAUUUUUCACAACACAAGCAUCAAAGCAAGAAUUUUCCUGUCAAGA
rnacentral:misc_RNA from 1 species